rnacentral:lncRNA from 1 species
UGAUAAGAAGCACAUGUGUCAAUCACUCACUCAAGAUCCUGACACACACAAGAAAAAAUAUCAUCAGAAGGAGACAAAAUCAAAUAAUCACCACCCUGCAUUAUAGCGAUGAUAUUAUCUUUAGACUCUAUAGACUCCACUUCUUUUCCCUUUUUCUUGCUCUUCUUAGGUUGUUUACAUUGGUUCUUGUAAUAUCCUUUCUC